AUGUUAGAAUUGGUGAGUCUCAGGUGGAAACAUAAUUAUGGGAUUGCUUUUGUUUCAAGGGAUUUUACUGUUUUUAGGUAUCUGACUGAGACCUAGACCCAUAAUUCCCACUCAUCAAAGCUCGGACCUUUCACCUCAAUUCAGUUUAAAAUUUCCACAAUUUUACAUGAUCUGUGCGGAGUUUGAACAGUUUAAGAGAAAUCCAUUUCAGGUUUUGCAUCCUUUCUUAGAAAUUCACAGUGUUUGUUAUCAUGGGAUUGAUCUUAAGGUUCCAGGAUGAACGUGAUGGGUUCAUUUCGUGACUGCGGGAUGAGAAAGACGUGGGUUUGGGAAGAAACAGAUGCGAGGAGGGAAGAGAGAGUGA
rnacentral:lncRNA from 1 species